rnacentral:sRNA from 1 species
UCUCUGGUAGUGUCUUCUGAAAUUUUCUC